rnacentral:misc_RNA from 1 species
GAUGAAGAACGUAGCAAAAUGCGAUAAGUAAUGUGAAUUGCAGAAUUCAGUGAAUCAUCGAAUCUUUGAACGCACAUUGCGCCCGCCAGUAUUCUGGCGGGCAUGCCUGUUCGAGCGUCAUUUCAACCCUCAAGCACAGCUUGGUGUUGGGACUCGCGUUAAUUCGCGUUCCCCAAAUUGAUUGGCGGUCACGUCGAGCUUCCAUAGCGUAGUAGUAAAACCCUCGUUACUGGUAAUCGUCGCGGCCACGCCGUUAAACCCCAACUUCUGAAUGUUGACCUCGGAUCAGGUAGGGAUACCCGCUGAACUUAAGCAUAUCAAUAAGCGGAGGA